rnacentral:lncRNA from 1 species
UCAUUACAUAUCCUUGAAAGACACCAGCUUUAUGUGGUAACGUUGGUCUGUUGACUCGGUUUGGUUGGCGGUGGUCGCCAUCUUGUGGUUUACAGGGGGUACUGCACCCCUGCAAAGAAGUUGUCGAGGUCGUCCCACGGUGAACACGAACACAGUGAGAACUCAGUCGCAGUCUCGGUACAGUGGCCUGGAGGUGCAAUCUAAAUUCUGCAGAGUCGGUGUGGUGGAUUUUGACAUGACCCCCAAACAGCUCGAGCACUGAUACUGCUGUAUUGUCGGUGACAUUUGAGGUUUAAGUGAGUCACAUGAGUCUCACGUGAUGCCGCUCCAGUCUCAUCCCCCGAUCGUUCCGUUUCCACAGCGUCUGGAAACACUCAGAUCCACUGUCACCCCAUUACAUCAGAGCGGUAAGGUAUC